CGCCAGACUCCUACGGGAGGCAGCAGUGGGGAAUAUUGCACAAUGGGGGAAACCCUGAUGCAGCAACGCCGCGUGAGUGAAGAAGUAUUUCGGUAUGUAAAGCUCUAUCAGCAGGGAAGAGAAUGACGGUACCUGACUAAGAAGCCCCGGCUAACUACGUGCCAGCAGCCGCGGUAAUACGUAGGGGGCAAGCGUUAUCCGGAUUUACUGGGUGUAAAGGGGGCGCAGACGGCAGCGCAAGCCAGGAGUGAAAGCCCGGGGCCCAACCCCGGGACUGCUCUUGGAACUGCGCGGCUGGAGUGCAGGAGGGGCAGGCGGAAUUCCUGGUGUAGCGGUGAAGUGCGUAGAUAUCAGGAGGAACACCGGUGGCGAAGGCGGCCUGCUGGACUGCGACUGACGUUGAGGCCCGAAAGCGUGGGGAGCAAACAGGAUUAGAUACCCUAGUA
rnacentral:rRNA from 1 species